CUCGAGUGAAAAUCUUCUUUCUCACACUUGGAUUUUUUGCUUUCAUUUCCCUUCCCUGUAUUAUUCCUAAAUAGCACCCAUAGAAAGCAACCAAGAUGCAAAUGAAAUUCUUCUCUCCUAUACCCUGAUUUUAGUUACUAUCAAAUUAUAGUAGAUUUACAUUAUAUUAACGUUACGAUGAUUAUUUUGUUGUAAUUCCUAGGUGGAAUUGGUAUAACUAAAGAUCCAUUCUAGAAUUACUUUAAUUUCCAGUAUUGAUUUUUGAAUUGGUUGACAACACGGUCUAGUUGAACUGAGUCUAAUUAUUUUUUCAUCAAUUGCAUCUUACACAAUGGUUUUAUUUUUUUAUGUUUCCUCUAUUUUUGGAGUCAUUUGAUCUUUACUUGACAUAGUAGUAGUAUUCCAGUGAAUAGAAGGUUCAAAUCACACUAUGUUUCUUAAUCUGUGUUAUUUGUCCCUAUUCAGAUGAUUUUAUACUAUAAAUCACUUGAUUUUCUAUCAGCUAAAUAUUUGUGUGAUAUCUAUUGACUAUUGUCAAAUAACUUGGGUGUAUGAAGGCCUUGUAUUUGUCAUCAUGCUGACGAGUAUAGUCAACUGAGGAUUGUCGUAAAUCUGCACGAAUGAUUGAUUGUUGUUUUGAUGUGAUGAAGAUGUUACUUAUAAAUUCAUAGCUUCUAAGUAGUUAGGUUUGAAUGUUGUAAUGUUGCUUGGGAAUUUCAUAAAGAUCCAAUAAAUUUUCUUUAUUUUCCAUCAUGCAUUUGUAUUUGAAAUAUGUAGUUUGCAUCUUUUAUUUUUUUUUAUUUCAUCUAUUUCUGUGAUUUUGAUUUCCAUAGAAAUUCAUUGCUUAUAUUAUAGUAGUAGUUAGACUGCUGCAAAUUUACUUGGAUUUUCAUAAAGAUCCAUAAGAAAAUUCAUUUGUUUUACACCAGGCAUUUGAAUUUAUAUUGUGUUAUCUCUAUGUUUAAAGUUUCAUUCUCACAUUUUUUGUAUUUGUUACCCAACCUUUUAGAUCUUUUUAGUUUUUUAUGUUUUUUGUUUAUUGAGUACUCCAUAUUGAGUAUUGUCGCAUCUGUUAUGUUAUUUAUGAUUUAUGAUAUUUAUGUUAUAUAUAGGAAAUAACUCAGUGGUCCAAGCUUAGAUAUACUCCCUCCAUUCUGUAAUAUACUCCCUUUGUCCUGUAGUAUAGCACAUACUAAGAAUUUUAAAAUAAGAGAGAACAUAAAAAACACAUGUACCCUCAUUUUAUUUCCUAAUCAUAUGUUAUUAUCAACAUGAUUAAUGAUGAUUGAUUGAUAAAUAGAAAUUUUUUAAUGCAAAUUUGGGUUUGUCCUCUAGAAUACAUUAUAUUUGAGGACAAAAUAUAAAAAUGAUACAAUGCACUAUAUUACAGGACAGAGGGAGUAGUGUUUUCUAGCAUUCA
rnacentral:lncRNA from 1 species